UAUAUGUAUAUGUAUAUAUAUAUGUAUAUAAUAUGAGACCGUAGAAAUGUCGUUUCCCUUUAUUCUUUUUUUACGCUACGUCCGUAUAUGCUUCUCAGACGUGCCGGAAGUCGCGAGAUUCUAUCGAAGGAUCGUCGGAUCGGUGUAUAUUCCAAACAGCACACGAUAUCCCAUGGACGUUCUGUAUAUCGUCUUUAGUAUAUCGGGACGUCCUCAGGACGUCCCUAGGAGAUCUGCGCUGUCUGGAUAUAUAUUCAAUGCACGUGUACGUAUGUGUGUGUGUGUGUGUAUGUGCGUAUGUGUAUGUCGAAUAGGUACAAAAUCGAUUCGGUACAAAAUCGUCCCUUCGUGUAUCACUUUUUUUUCUUUUCGUAAUACGGUACAACUGCGUGUCCGCAGACACGGAAUCUCGGGUACACGCUUAUAAAACAGAAUUCCACCGUAUUAUCAGUAAAUUUAUCGCUGCGCAGAUACGAUCUCGGUGGAUAAGAGAUCCUAUGUAUGUAUGUGUGUGUAUGUUGCGUAUGUGUGUGUUUACGCCGCGAAAAGAGGACCGGCGCUCGUUUUGUCGCUAAUUUAACUUUUUUUUCUUUCCUUUCUUUUCGCAAUUCUUACGACUACGAGGAGCGUAGAACACUUAAGAAGAGCGAUCGUCGCGAUUUCUCCUCCUCUUCUCUCCCCUCCCGUGAGAAUUUAUAAAAUGCGAGAACAAGAGGUCAGACUUUGUACUUUCGUAUUGCACUUUGUCGUGUAUAUAUCUCAAUGACACGUUGGAGUUCUUAAAGAGUAUAUAUAAUAAUCCUACGCAGUUCGCGCGCGAGAGAGAAACCUGUUUUUGCUCUACACGUGCGACACACAGUUUUUCGCCGAUGAAAUAAAUAGGAGCGCACAAGUCGAGAAAAUAAACUACCGUCUAAGGAAUCCUUUCCCCCUUCUCGUUCGAGCUCUUGCACGAGACGACGCAUCGUUAUUCCGACACGCGCUGUCAGACAAUAGAGCGUGCCUCUUAGCCAAACGACACGAAAAUCCAAAAGACGUCGUCCACAGAUGGCGUCUUGAGGAUUGGGACGCCCGGAGAGGACAGCUAAAUAACGUCUCGAAAAAUUGAGGGAUUUCUUCUAAAGGGUGUCUAAACGACGCCUUAAAAAAUCAGGACGUCUAAAAGGUGUCUAAACGGCGUCUGAAAAAUUCGGUACGCCUAAAAGAUGCCUAAAUCUCGAGAAUCUCUCGAUCACGCCCGGAGAUGUGUUCGCGCGACGUCUCGAAAGAUUGAGAGAGAGAUGUCUAAAAGAUGUCUAAACAGAUGCCUCCGGAAUCUGGGACGCACCAAGGACGUCUGACGAAUUUUUAACGCUUGAACGAGGUCCUCACAACAUGUCUCUCUUAGACAUACGCGAGCAGAAGACAUUUGUGAAGUCUGGGUAGUUCGUAGUACGAAACGUUGCUGGUAUGCGGAUGGAUUACUUUUACAGCGGCCGCGAGUAUUAAUAGAAUGUUCGGAAAUUUCGAUAUCGUUAUACGGACUAUCGCCGAUUACACACAGGUACUAUUUCCCUGCUUGCGGGAACCCGCGCUAAAGUUGCCGGAAAUAUAUAUAUAUAUAUAUAUAUAUGACAUAUAAUAUGUCGCGGAGCAAAGUUCUCUCCUUUAUGCUAAACACGCCUCAACAUCUCUCCGCAUCGUCCGUUUAUUAUGUUAUCGCAUAAACGAAACGAUGCUGAUUUGCUCUAUACGCCUUAUCGUCUAUUUAAUAGUUUAUUUUCUGCGGCGUGCGUGUAAGUGGCGUGUGUGUGUGUGUGUGUGUGUGUGUGGAUAGAUAGAUAGAGAUAGAUGUGUGUGUGUAUAUGCGUAUGCGUGCACGUUAUAGAUAUUGUUCGUAUCGCGAGAGUGGUAUUGCUCGUUCCCGUUCGCCUUUACGACUUUCGUGUUUUCGUACUAAGUUAAGAAUAGAACAACGCCCGCACGCGCGCGCACCCGCGCGACAUCGCGGUACGUAUGUUACACCCGGUGAUAACGGCACCGCUGAUAAGACACGCGUCGCUGGGAAUUGACGAAAAUACGCGAGCAAUUUUCGGUCGGUGGCGAGUCGAGACGACGACGACGAGGAAUUUCGUAACUAAUUCGCCGCCGAACAUCACACGCGCGGGACUCGAGAGCGUAUAGCGCACACGCAUGCACACGUGUAGGUCAUAUCAGCUAGCACUUACACACACACAAAUCAUAUUUCGAAAGUCAGACUAAACAUAUGUAUAUAUAACAACGGAGAUAAUAUUUCGCGAAACGCACGAUGAAAAAGUCACUUCCGACGUCUGCGCUGCGAAGCGCUUAACAUAAGCGAGCAUCGGCAUCUUGUUUCGACGCACAGUGUCAUGAUUAUACUCGUAAGCGCGACGCAAUCUCGAAUAUCGUACACAUCGUCGCGACUUCAAAAGUAAUACAUUUGCUCCUUUCUGUUUCAUCCCGCUUGCAAUUAAAUCAGGCAUCGUAUGUACUCUCCAUUUUUAUUUGCGAUAUAUUUCUUUCAUUCGAAAUUAAAAUACAUCUCUCGCUCUCUCACCACACACACACACACACACACACACACACACACUCUCUCUCUCUCUCUCUCUCUCUCUCUCUCUCUCUUUUCCACCCGAGAAAUCAAGAUACAUCCUAAGUCAUGGCAGUUACAAUGAUUCGUCGAAAUCGUUUUAUUAUACAGACUUCAAAUGUGUAUUCUCAAAAAACCGAGCUGUAUGCAAUUAUAAGUAUUAUACGAAGUAUCUUUAUACGUUACGUCCUAGAUAACUCUACGAUAAACUGCGUUUGUAUGUGUGUGUACGUGUUUCUCGCGUGUUUAUGAAAAACAUAGAUUAUUACAUUCUUUAUCUUAGGUGGGAUGCUUAGAUUAUUGUAAUAUUACAAUGUAACGGUAUGCGUGUCUUAUGUAUAUUGACCGAAUGUUACAUAGGGCAUUAUAUAUGUGUAAUAUAAUGUCAUAUAUAUAUGUAUUGUAUAAUGCCCUACGUAAUGUAUAAAUAUAUAUAUAUUUAUAUUUAUAUGUGUAUGUGUAAUGAAGGUAUCUAUAUUCUA